UACGUAGGGUGCGAGCGUUGUCCGGAAUUAUUGGGCGUAAAGAGCUUGUAGGUGGUUUGUCGCGUCUGCUGUGAAAAUCCGAGGCUCAACCUCGGACUUGCAGUGGGUACGGGCAGACUAGAGUGCGGUAGGGGAGAUUGGAAUUCCUGGUGUAGCGGUGGAAUGCGCAGAUAUCAGGAGGAACACCGAUGGCGAAGGCAGAUCUCUGGGCAUUAACUGACGCUGAGGAGCGAAAGCAUGGGGAGCGAACAGG
rnacentral:rRNA from 1 species